GGAUGGCGUUUAACUUUAAAGCAGUAAACUGAACGCAAUUGGAGGGNAAGUCUGGUGCCAGCAGCCGCGGUAAUUCCAGCUCCNAUAGCGUAUAUUUAAGUUGCUGCGGUUAAAAAGCUCGUAGUUGGACUUCUAUACUCGGGCGGACCAGCCCUCUCCUCCUCUCCUAUACAAGCCUCCGUAGUUCAGUAGGCUUCAGUUCGUACACUGCUUCGUUGUCCGGGCCUACCUUCGCGGGUAUGGUGCGGGCACGAGUGGUAUCAGUGCGCGUGGUCGAACGGCGUGGGCAGGACGAGUACGGAGUGGUGGGGGCGUAAACUGCGUCCGUCUCCGAGUGUAAUAUGAGACCGCCGAUAUGCACUUUUAGUGUGUCGGGAAAUAGUCUAUAGCCGUACGGGCGGUGCCCUUUAUUGGGUGUCCUCUCGAUUGCGGCACAAGGCACAUUCCUCACCAACAAAGUUAUCGGCUCUAUCUCUUUGAAAAAAUUAGAGUGCUUAAAGCAGGCCUCAUUGCAUAAUUGCCUGAAUGGUAGUGCAUGGAAUGAUGGAAGAUGAUCUCUACCUCGUUAAGUUAAAAAAGGAACUUGUUUUCUUUUUUUCUUUGCACCAAGUGGAAUAAGGGUACAUUUGAAAUAAAAGAUUCGAGGUUUGAGAUAAUGAUUAAAGGGAACUGCCGGGGGCGUUUGUAUUACGGCGCUAGAGNUGAAAUUCUUGGACCGUCGUAAGACAAACUACUGCGAAAGCAUUCGCCAAGAAUGUUUUCAUUAAUCAAGAACGAAAGUUAGAGUUUAGAAGGAGAUCAGAUACCUCCCUAUUUCUAACCGUAAACUAUGCUAGCCAGUUGUCCGUCGGAAGUCAUUUCCGAGACUGGACGAGCGACCCUCAGGGAAACCAGAGUUUCUGAGUUCCGGGGGAAGUAUGGUUGCAAAGCUGAAACUUAAAGGAAUUGACGGAAGGGCACCACCAGGAGUGGAGCCUGCGGCUUAAUUUGACUCAACACGGGAAAACUCACCAGGCCCAGAAACAUUUAGGAUUGACAGAUUGAAAGCUCUUUCAUGAUUAUGAGGAUGGUGGUGCAUGGCCGUUCUUAGUUGGUGGAGCGAUCUGUCUGGUUAAUUCCGAUAACGAACGAGAUUCUCGUUUACUAAAUAGAAGGUAGAUCUGAUCCCGGAGGUCCUUUCGCUCGUGCUCUUUUUUCGCUGUGCUCGUGUGCGUGUCUCUUGCGGUGUUUUGGUGCACAAGGCUGUCGCGCGCGCGCUUGUUGGUUGNCUCUCGNNUCGGUCGNCUGGAGAGUGGUUAUCGAUGUUUGCGUGUGCCUGCUCGUCUGCAGAUGUGUUUUGCNNNNNNNNNNNNNNNNNNNNNNNNNNUUAGGAGUGCGUGGUGGAGGGGAUCUUAUGACGGGUAGUCUACACCCGUUUCUUCUUAGAAAAAUCAAUGGUGCUGUAAUCAGUUGACAGGAAGAGCAAUAACAGCUCUSCGAUCGCCCGAGAUGUUAUGGAACGCACRCGCGCUACAAUSCACGGUGCAGCACGUCAAAACUUCGCWAAACGGACUGGGUAACCGGCUCAAAUMMGGGMGCACGWGGGAAUGGGGCUUCCAAAUAUUUCCCAUGAACGAGGAAUGUMCCCGUAAGCGUUGGCUCAUUUAAGUACGCACCCAUUACGUNCCUUCCCUUCAUACACGACCCCCGUCGCUACUACCGAYUGAAUGACUCAGUGAGAACAUCGGACUGUCGCCCUAAUAGUG
rnacentral:rRNA from 1 species